CAGUCGCCGCGGUAAUACAGAGGGUGCGAGCGUUAAUCGGAUUUACUGGGCGUAAAGCGUGCGUAGGCGGCUUCUUAAGUUGGAUGUGAAAUCCCUGAGCUUAACUUAGGAAUUGCAUUCGAUACUGGGAAGCUAGAGUAUGGGAGAGGAUGGUAGAAUUCCAGGUGUAGCGGUGAAAUGCGUAGAGAUCUGGAGGAAUACCGAUGGCGAAGGCAGCCAUCUGGCCUAAUACUGACGCUGAGGUACGAAAGCAUGGGGAGCAAACAGGAUUAGAUACCCGCGUAGUCCCUGUCUCUUAUAC
rnacentral:rRNA from 1 species